rnacentral:rRNA from 1 species
UACGUAGGCAGCGAGCGUUGUUCGGAGUUACUGGGCGUAAAGGGUGUGUAGGCGGUUGUUUAAGUUUGGUGUGAAAUCUCCCGGCUCAACUGGGAGGGUGCGCCGAAUACUGAAUGACUUGGAGUGCGGGAGAGGAAAGUGGAAUUCCUGGUGUAGCGGUGAAAUGCGUAGAUAUCAGGAGGAACACCGGUGGUGUAGACGGCUUUCUGGACCGUAACUGACGCUGAGACACGAAAGCGUGGGUAGCAAACGGG